AGGUCUAACUGGUGUCAAGGGAGAAAAAGGAAAUCCAGGCACUGGAACCCAAGGCCCAAGAGGCCCCCCAGGGCCAGCAGGACCUUCAGGGGAGAGUCGGCCAGGAAGCCCUGGGCCUCCGGGAUCCCCCGGACCAAGGGGUCCACCAGGUCACCUGGGGGUCCCUGGACCACAAGGUCCUUCUGGCCAGCCUGGAUAUUGCGACCCCUCUUCGUGUUCUGCCUACGGCGUUGGAGAUGUGAUCCCUUACAAUGAUUACCAGCACUGAAGUGGAGCCCCUCCACUCUGCUUAUAUUGGCCUGGGCAAUUGGCUGCAGAUACAGAACUGUCCUGUUACCACCCCUCCCCCAGCCCCUGCCCCUAACAACGGGCACUCUGCUUCCCUGCCUCACUUGCUUCCCCACCUACCCACUGCCACAUCUCUCACCCUCCUUGCUCCAGAUACAUGCAAGGAUAAUACCAGGACUUAACCAAAUCACACAUGUCAGUUGUAGUACAAACUGACUGCUCCAUGUCAGUCUGGAUAUAGGUAUAUGAUGAUGUGCCAAUAAUUCAUCCCAAUCUUCCCUAUGUGAAGGCACAGUAAUCAUUCCUCUUUCCUGUCGCCACACAAGAUUGAUGGCAUCUUUCUCCCUGAUCACCCUACUCUCUAUUCUUCCUCUGAUCCCUUCACUUCCCUACUAUUGCUGGUGAUGGACUAAUAACAUGAGAUCAGUUUUAAACAUUUAUUUUUCUUUAAUAAUGUUGCUGAGUUUUCAGGGUUCCUUUUGUAAAUAAAACACAUAAUAUAUAAGCAAUUGGCUGUGAUUCUAGUUUUCUAACAAUUUCUGCAAUGUAUCUGUCCCUUCCUUCUUUUACUAACCCCUGAAACCUCACGGGGAAGGUGCAAGCCGCAUGGUGGGUAAAGGUUGCUAACUGCUUUUUACCCAAGCAGGAUAUCUCUGUAGUUUAAUGACCAAAUCUAAGUCUCUAUGGACCCAUAUGAAGGAAGAAUAUCAACCUAUGGUUCCUGGGUCCCAUCAAGUCCCCACCCCACUCUUCCUCUCUAGCUCCCCAUCCUGAUCAGCCAGAAUUCACCCCUGUGCAAGACGAGCUAGAAGCCAUGGAGCUGUGGGGCUCUGGGAUCUAAUAGCCUCAGAAGACAUUUGGAGACCACCUAUAAGAACUCUUAGGGAGGCUCAGUCAAGAAGAAUGUCACUAUGUGGUUUGUAUGCUACCUUUUGGGGGCUUGUUUCAUCAGCCUAAAUCUUUUGCUUGGAUAUUGUUAUUAUUGUUAUUAUUAACAAGAAAUUAUAUUUUUUAAAAAAGCCCCUUAAUCUGUGCCACCAUAGGAUUGAUUUCUCAUUGUCAUUUUAAUGGCCCACCAGAUUAUUUGUUUUUCCAGAGAAGAGUGAUCAAAGGAAAACUGGCAAAAAAAUCUGACCUAUGUAAUCUUUUCUGUUAGAUGAUCUCAAGUCCUGAAAGGAAACAAGACAGAUAUGAUUGUAUUCAAGGGAAAUGGGAUCCUAGCAGAAGAGGAAUUCAGAGAUUCAAAGAUUAUGCAAUGUAUCCCUUUUCCUUAUAGCCUUGCUGAAAAGAAAAAGGGAUAUUAAUGGAGAAACUACCUCUUGCUUAAUUAAUCUGUUCAACUCUGAGAUCACUUGGUAACUGGUUUCACUGGUAUCAAAGAAUAUGUGUUAGAAUAUAACCUUUCUUAGGUUGGUGAUUUUAGAAAUAGACUUACUUUUUCAGUUGUUUUUCAUUAUAAAAGAACAACUUUCCACCAGUUCUCAUGCAAAGAGAUCCAAUUUUGAUGAAUGAUUUAUCCAGAAGUCCAAGUAUUCCAAGGCUUGCCCUCCUUAUCUACAUGGAUUACUUUGUACAUGCAGAUAAGUUUUUGCAAACCUGUUUUCAUUCUCUCUUGUGAGCAAAUAAAAUUUUAAAACAAUG